GCCGGGGAUAACAGGCUUAUCUUGCCCAAGAGUUCACAUCGACGGCAAGGUUUGGCACCUCGAUGUCGGCUCAUCGCAUCCUGGGGCUGAAGCAGGUCCCAAGGGUUCGGCUGUUCGCCGAUUAAUAGCGGUACGUGAGCUGGGUUCAGAACGUCGUGAGACAGUUCGGUCCCUAUCUACUGUGGGCGCAGGAUACUUGACGGAAUGGUUUCCUAGUACGAGAGGACCGGAAACCACGGGCCUCCAGUGUACCAGUUGUUCCGCCAGGAGCAUCGCUGGGUAGCUGUGCCCGGAAAGGAUAAGCGCUGAAUGCAUCUAAGCGCGAAGCCCUCCCAAAGAUGAGGUAUCCCUCCACUUUUGUGGCUGUAGACCCCUUGAAGACUACAAGGUUGAUAGGCUGGACGUGUAAGUGCAGCAAUGCAUUGAGCUUACCAGUACUAAUCGGUCGUGAGGCUUGACCAU
rnacentral:rRNA from 1 species